rnacentral:misc_RNA from 1 species
GAAAUGCGAUAAUUAAUGUGAAUUGCAGAAUUCAGUGAAUCAUCGAGUCUUUGAACGCACAUUGCGCCCCCUGGUAUUCCGGGGGGCAUGCCUGUCCGAGCGUCAUUGCUGCCCUCAAGCACGACUUGUGUGUUGGGCUUCCGUCCCUGGCAACGGGGACGGGCCCAAAAGGCAGUGGCGGCACCAUGUCUGGUCCUCGAGCGUAUGGGGCUUUGUCACCCGCUCCCGUAGGUCCAGCUGGCAGCUAGCCUCGCAACCCAUCUUUUUAACCAGGUUGACCUCGGAUCAGGUAGGGAUACCCGCUGAACUUAAGC